AUGUUGGGUGUUACAAACGUUGAAGGACAACGUUUUGAGAAGUUGUCUAAUAUAAUGCUGACAGUAGCCGAUAUGGCAUCAAACAAUAAGAAAGACUGUAAUAUGUUGAUGGAAUCUAUGAUUGGCAUGAGAAAAAAAUUGGAGCAGAAGGAAUGUGAGGGAGGGCUUGGUAGUAAAGAUGGGGACGAUUCUCCCAAAUAGAGGAAUAGUCUAAUUAUUAAUCUACAGGCAGUUCGCAACAAAGGUCGUCCUCCAUGCAAAAGAAAGCAAUCGAAGGUUGAUAAAAUUGUACGUAGGGCUAAAAAUAAAAAAUUACGAAAACAAAGAAUUGGGAAAGAAUCAUCAGCAGAACGAGACAACAUUAUUGAAAGUAGACUAGGAACUCAAGUGUUGUCAAAUGAUGUUGUUACUACCCAGCUCAGAGACAUUGACAGUGAAGCAAAUCUAAGUCCUCUCUUUUAUUUCUCUGUCUUUUUUCAUAUGCAAUUGUAAGCUUCAAAAGCUAGACACGACACAACCCAGAUCAGAUUGAAGCAUUGGGAAGCUGAUCUUGAAACACUUGCGUGUUGAAAACUUUUUAUGAAGAUUUCUGUUAAAUGCUGCUCAGCUAUACUCCAUUUACAUAAUUAAUGCAACCCAGUUGUAAGGUUGCAUCAAUUAAGACAAAUUUAUUGUAAUUAUAUUUUUAAUUUUUUUAUAAUUAUUUGG